rnacentral:rRNA from 1 species
UUCCUACGGGCGCAGCAGUGAGGAAUAUUGGUCAAUGGGCGCGAGCCUGAACUAGCCAAGUCGCGUGAGGGAAGACGGUCCUAUGGAUUGUAAACCUCUUUUGUCGGGGAGCAAAGGACGCCACGUGUGGCGUUCCGAGAGUACCCGAAGAAAAAGCAUCGGCUAACUCCGUGCCAGCAGCCGCGGUAAUACGGAGGAUGCGAGCGUUAUCCGGAUUUAUUGGGUUUAAAGGGGGCGCAGGCGGAAGAUCAAGUCAGCGGUAAAAUUGAGAGGCUCAACCUCUUCGCGCCGUUGAAACUGGUUUU